rnacentral:rRNA from 1 species
UCGAGAGGGGAACUAACCCGGCGAAAGUCGGACUAAUACCGCAUAAACAGGGGCACCGCAUGGUGAUAUUUGUUAAAGAGAUUCGCUGAUAGAUGGGCAUGCGUUCCAUUAGGUAGUUGGUGACGGUAACGGCUCACCAAGCCGACGAUGGAUAGGGAACUGAGAGGUUGGUCCCCCCACACUGGUACUGAGACACGGACCAGACUCCUACGGGAGGCAGCAGUGAGGAAUAUUGGUCAAUGGGCGGGAGCCUGAACCAGCCAAGUCGCGUAGAAGGAAGAAGGAUCUAUGGUUCGUAAACUUCUUUUGCGAGGGGAAUAAAGUGCAGGACGUGUCCUGUUUUGUAUGUACCCUGAGAAUAAGGAUCGGCUAACUCCGUGCCAGCCGCCGC